UUAUUUGCAAUGAAAUGGAUCAGUUGAAAAGAACCAGCGAAGUGGCGCUGAGGUCACUCGAUUUAGGUCACAUCAAGACUACAACUCACUUAGUAUCUCUACAAAAUUCACGUGAAUGCACAUUUAGUCCAGGAGGAAUUGGCGCAAUAGUACUGAAAACCAUUCCACCUCAAUUUUUUUACGCGGCAACUUUGAAAUUACCCUACUGAUGAUACAAAUGCAUGUUGACAUGGGACAAACUCAUGCCAUAUUGUUUAAAAUUGAAUUGUUCAAACAAUUGUAAGGAAUUGUAAUUUUUCAACCGAACAUUCGAUUAUGUAUUGUAGUACAAAUAAAAAACGUGUGUUCAUCUCGGGACGCCCGACAGAAGUGAU